CAUUGAAACUCUAGAGAUAGAGCUUUCCCUUCGGGGACAAAGUGACAGGUGGUGCAUGGUUGUCGUCAGCUCGUGUCGUGAGAUGUUGGGUUAAGUCCCGCAACGAGCGCAACCCUUAUUGUUAGUUGCCAUCAUUUAGUUGGGCACUCUAGCGAGACUGCCGGUGACAAACCGGAGGAAGGUGGGGAUGACGUCAAAUCAUCAUGCCCCUUAUGACCUGGGCUACACACGUGCUACAAUGGGAAGUACAACGAGUCGCUAGACCGCGAGGUCAUGCAAAUCUCUUAAAGCUUCUCUCAGUUCGGAUUGCAGGCUGCAACUCGCCUGCAUGAAGCCGGAAUCGCUAGUAAUCGCGGAUCAGCACGCCGCGGUGAAUACGUUCCCGGGUCUUGUAACACACCGA
rnacentral:rRNA from 1 species